rnacentral:rRNA from 1 species
GACGAACGCUGGCGGCGUGCUUAACACAUGCAAGUCGAACGGAAAGGCCCUGAUUUCGUGGGGUUCCCGGGAGGCGAACGCGUGCGUAACACGAGAGCAUCCUGACCUUGCCUUUGGGAUGACUUCAGGAAACUGGGGCUACUACCGGAAAGGAGCUCCUGCCACGGGGUGGGGGUCGGAUAGUUGCGGCGGUUGGGGAUGGACUCGCGGCUUAUCCGCUUGUUGGGGGGGUGGUGGCUUACCAAGGCUUUGACGGGAAGCCGGCCUGAGAGGGUGACCGGCCACAUUGGGACUGAGGUACGGCCCAGACGCCUACUGGAGGCAGCAGUGGGGAAUAGUGCACAAUAGGCGGAAGCCGGAUGCAGCAACGCCGCGUGCGGAAUGACGGCCUUCGGGUUGUAAACCGCAUUCGCCUAUGACGAAGCGGGAGUGACGGUAAUGGAUAAAGAAGCACCGGCUAACUACGUG